rnacentral:rRNA from 1 species
CUUAAGCAUAUCAAUAAGCGGAGGAAAAGAAACCAACAGGGAUUGCCUCAGUAACGGCGAGUGAAGCGGCAACAGCUCAAAUUUGAAAUCUGGCGCCUUCGGCGUCCGAGUUGUAAUUUGUAGAGGAUGCUAUUGGGUUGCCACCGGUCUAAGUUCCUUGGAACAGGACGUCACAGAGGGUGAGAAUCCCGUAUGUGACCGGCCAGGCGCCUUCUGUAUAGCUCCUUCGACGAGUCGGGUUGUUUGGGAAUGCAGCCCUAAAUGGGAGGUAAAUUUCUUCUAAAGCUAAAUACCGGCCAGAGACCGAUAGCGCACAAGUAGAGUGAUCGAAAGAUGAAAAGCACUUUGGAAAGAGAGUUAAAAAGCACGUGAAAUUGUUGAAAGGGAAGCGCUUGCAAUCAGUCUCGACGGCGGCUGUUCGGCCUCUCUUCUGAGUGGUUUAUUCAGUCGCCGCCGGGCCAGCAUCAGUUUUGGCGGUCGGAUAAAGGCGUGGGGAAUGUAGCUCCUCCGGGAGUGUUAUAGCCCCGCGUGCAAUACGGCCCGCCGGGACUGAGGUCCGCGCUUCGGCUAGGAUGCUGGCGAAAUGGUUGUAAGCGGCCCGUCUUGAAACACGGACCAAGGAGUCUAACAUCUACGCGAGUGUUUGGGUGUCAAACCCGUGCGCGCAAUGAAAGUGAACGGAGGUGGGAACCGCAAGGUGCACCAUCGACCGAUCCUGAUGUCUUCGGAUGGAUUUGAGUAAGAGCGUAGCUGUUGGGACCCGAAAGAUGGUGAACUAUGCCUGAAUAGGGUGAAGCCAGAGGAAACUCUGGUGGAGGCUCGCAGCGGUUCUGACGUGCAAAUCGAUCGUCAAAUUUGGGUAUAGGGGCGAAAGACUAAUCGAACCAUCUAGUAGCUGGUUCCUGCC